AUGGCAUUCUACUCAGAUCAUCAUGCUUAUGCGAGCAACACUACAAACAGCACGGAAAGUAUUCAAGAACUGAUAAGUAAGAUUUCCCAUCGAUUAGAUGAUUUAGCUCGGCAGCGAGAAGUAGUUUUUGAGGAUAGGACUAGCUCUUAUGAUCCUUAUUCUAGAGGUCAUCCUUAUGUUGCUCCUACAUGCCAUAUUUGUGGAUUUCAGGGCCAUUCACCCACUGAAUGUCAGCGUGGUUACUCUCACCCUCCCGAUAGUUAUGGCAUGAGCUUCGCCCCACAGCCUAGCUCAUACCAAAACAAUUACUCAUAUGGGUGGCCUGAAAACCAGAAUAUGUCAUAUAGGAACAACAGCCCUGAGAUCUCAUCGUUUGCCUCUAGUUAUCCAUUGCAGGGAAUUAGGUACAAUGUGGAGAGCCACAACCAUGCACCACAACAGUUUUAUUCACCUCCUACUCAUAUACCGCAGCACCAGGAGAUGUGUCCAAUGGAGUUAAAUGGUCCUCCAUUUGGUCAACCAACAACUCCAGCACCUGUUGUGCAAUCUCAUGUGCAAGUGCCCACACAAGACGAGUUCGAUGACAUAGACAAGCUCACACUUUUGAGUCUCGAGUUCACUUGGAGUGCCGAGGAUGAUCCUAUUAGGAAGGUGAUACUUGAGGAAAUGAAGAAGAUUAAGAGUGGAAAGGAGCUAGUGGAAGAAGUAAGGAAGAUUGAGAAGAACAUCAACGCUGGCAGUACUAUCUCUUCCCUCCUUGAGCUGAGUGUUCCUGGGAUAUCCCUUGAGGUGUGUGACGUUCGAACACCUUCACAUUCAGCUGAGCAAGAUAGCGAGAGUCCAGAGGAAGAGAUACUUCAGAUCCAAGAAGAGAUUCUCGAAGCCAAGGCACAAGAUGAUCCAGAGCUCAACUACCCAAGUGAUCAGGUCGAAGACCUUGAAGAUCCAAUGUAUAUCCUUCCUGAAGAAGUAAAAGAAGCUCCAGUAGUUGAAGAUGAAGAACCAGAAAUUCAUUUGCCCAUCGUCAUACAAGAGCGUGAUGUAGCAGGUUCGAGUGACAUUCCUUGGGACCCUGGUGGACUCAGAGCAUGGGGAUGA
rnacentral:rRNA from 1 species